AGGACGUGCUAAUCUGCGAAAAGCUUGGAUGAGUUGAUAAGAAGCGUUUAAUCCAAGAUAUCCGAAUGGGGAAACCCAGUAGAUGAAGAAUCUACUAUCAAUAGAUGAAUACAUAGUCUGUUGAGGCAAACCGGGAGAACUGAAACAUCUAAGUACCCCGAGGAAAAGAAAUCAACCGAGAUUUUGUCAGUAGCGGCGAGCGAAAACGAAAGAGCCAGCAAGUGAUAGCAGCAAAGACAGAAGAAUUGGCUGGGAAGCCAAGCGACACAGGGUGAUAGCCCCGUAUUUUAAGUUUAUGUUGUGGUACUAAACUUGCAACAAGUAGGGCGGGACACGAGAAAUCCUGUUUGAAGAUGGGGGGACCAUCCUCCAAGGCUAAAUACUCCUG
rnacentral:rRNA from 1 species